UAAUAAGUGUUUUAUGGCACUUUUUAAAUCCAUAUCCACCUUGUGUGCAAUGUCAGUCGAUCUUCUUCAUGGAGAUCGACCAAACAUCAACCUUUAUUUUUUAACUCUUCGUCUGAAAAAUAUUAUGAAUAAACAAUUCAAAAUA
rnacentral:misc_RNA from 1 species